AGAGUUUGAUCCUGGCUCAGGAUGAACGCUAGCUACAGGCUUAACACAUGCAAGUCGAGGGGCAGCACAGCGUGGCAACACGUGGGUGGCGACCGGCGCACGGGUGCGUAACGCGUAUCCAAUCUACCCAUAACUCCGGGACAGCCCUCUGAAAGGAGGAUUAAUACCGGAUGGCGCAGGGGGUCCGCAUGGACAUAUUGCUAAAGAUUUAUCGGUUAUGGAUGAGGAUGCGUACCAUUAGGUAGUCGGCGGGGUAACGGCCCACCGAGCCGACGAUGGUUAGGGGUUCUGAGAGGAAGGUCCCCCACACUGGAACUGAGACACGGUCCAGACUCCUACGGGAGGCAGCAGUGAGGAAUAUUGGUCAAUGGGCGAGAGCCUGAACCAGCCAAGUAGCGUGAGGGAAGACGGCCCUAUGGGUUGUAAACCUCUUUUAUGCGGGGAUAAAGUGCGGCACGUGUGCCGUUUUGUAGGUACCGCAUGAAUAAGGACCGGCUAAUUCCGUGCCAGCAGCCGCGGUAAUACGGAAGAUGCGGGCGUUAUCCGGAUUUAUUGGGUUUAAAGGGAGCGCAGGCGGAGGCUUAAGCGUGACGUGAAAUGUAGCCGCUCAACGGCUGAGUUGCGUCGCGAACUGGGUUUCUUGAGUGAGUGCGACGUCAGCGGAAUUCGUGGUGUAGCGGUGAAAUGCUUAGAUAUCACGAAGAACCCCGAUUGCGAAGGCAGCUGACGAGCCCUUUACUGACGCUAAAGCUCGAAGGUGCGGGUAUCGAACAGGAUUAGAUACCCUGGUAGUCCGCACGGUAAACGAUGGAUGCCCGCUGUAUGCGAUAUACUGUAUGCGGCCAAGCGAAAGCGUUAAGCAUCCCACCUGGGGAGUACGCCGGCAACGGUGAAACUCAAAGGAAUUGACGGGGGCCCGCACAAGCGGAGGAACAUGUGGUUUAAUUCGAUGAUACGCGAGGAACCUUACCCGGGCUUGAACUGCCGGCGAACGAUUCAGAGAUGAUGAGGUCCUUCGGGACGCCGGUGGAGGUGCUGCAUGGUUGUCGUCAGCUCGUGCCGUGAGGUGUCGGCUUAAGUGCCAUAACGAGCGCAACCCCUUUCGCCAGUUGCCAUCAGGUGAUGCUGGGCACUCCGGCGACACUGCCACCGCAAGGUGUGAGGAAGGUGGGGAUGACGUCAAAUCAGCACGGCCCUUACGUCCGGGGCCACACACGUGUUACAAUGGGGGGCACAGCGAGUGGGGCCAUGGCGACAUGUCCCGAAUCAUGAAAUCCCCUCCCAGUUCGGACUGGAGUCUGCAACCCGACUCCACGAAGCCGGAUUCGCUAGUAAUCGCGCAUCAGCCAUGGCGCGGUGAAUACGUUCCCGGGCCUUGUACUCACCGCCCGUCA
rnacentral:rRNA from 1 species